UCCUUGUUGUCACUACCUGUACUAAGAAAAUGUAGCCAGCGUGUGCGUGCCUUUCCUUAUGCUGUGAAUAUACCUUAAUCUUUUUGUACAAACACAUCCUCAGCUGUUCUGCUCCUCAGAACCCCAUCUGCAGAGAUGGAGAUGACAACACUUUCCCAUCUCAGAGAGCCUGAUAGUGGAGGCCUUUGUGAUUUCAGCAGAUGGUGCCUUGGAAUUUUAGGGAGGAUAUCAGCUGGUAAUCUGGAUUUAGAGAGCUACGCACACUUCAUUUCAUGCAUCACAUUGGGACAGACCUCCUGGUGCCUGUUCCUCAGGUUGGGAGCUUGCCCAGGGGAGAGCUGUGUAGGUACUUCAUUUCACAGAGUGGCUAUUUGAAUUUUAGCCCCUUUCCUGCACAGGGAUGAAUGGCUUAAUUUCACAAAUAAUGGCAGAAUGCGUCUAAAGUGAGACAAUUUAGAUGGAUAGAUUCUGGCUGACGUUUAAGAACUGCAAUAAAUAAUCUCCUCCUCACCCACGCCUCUCCCAGAAAUCUACAUACCUUUGUGCAUAUUUUAUAACUAACCCUAAUAAAGAAAUAAUCCAAAAUGACACCUGUUAAAGAAAAGAAUAACCCCAAAAUGUAGGUUAUUGAAAUAUGAGUGUAAUAUAGAAAAGAUAGCAGUGCUAAUAUUAAUGACCUAUCUGUCUCCUGGUGCACUUAAAGAAGUCUCUCAUGUAUUUUAUUUUAUUUUUUAUUAGAAACUGUAUCAUUAGCUCUAAAAGAUCUUACUGGGAAGGGCGAGGAUAAAGAUCUGACUUUUUAAAAGCCAAAUUCAGCUGUACUUCUUUUUUUUCUUACUGAAAAAAAAAAAAAAAGAUAUUUCAUAAAUAUUUUUUCCCCUCUGGCUGGAAUAUAAGGACAGUAUAUUAAAUUCCUGCCCCCAAUUCCACAAAAGGAAGACCCAGCUACAUUUACAUAAUAAUGUCCCUACUGUGCUUUUGACAGAUGGGUUUCAUUGACACAGACAUACUGUUAGGGGCUUAGCAAUAGAUUAAAAAAACAACAACAAUACAGUGUAACAUAAUAAAAGCGUAUUGUAAUGUACAUCAUAACUUUUGGCCAAGGUUAAAUAUCCAGUUGGUGUAUGAAAGUCGUAUUCCAUUAGACAAAAUAGAUGUCACACUGCAAAGCAUUAAAGAUGAGUUGACUGAGCCAUUUGUUUUUAUUUAUAUUACAUUAUAUUUUCCUUUAUUCUAUUUAUGCAGCAGGUAAAAAAAAAAAAAAAAGAAAUCCUUCAGUCCUCCUUUCUCACCUACACCACUACACCACAGCAUUAUUGACAGUGAGUGUUUCUAUGCGAGGCUGCCAGUGAUGCAGGGUGCUGUGCAAAGCCGCAAGAUCUACUUGCUAUAACUGCAGAACUCCCAUAGGCCAGGAAGAAGUACAUGCUGAUGCUUACUAGCUAGCUGCUAUGGGAUCCCAGCUGUCUCUCCUCCUUGCUAUCAUCUGCCCUAAGCCUCACAGAAUAAACUGCUUUGCAAUAUAAGGA